rnacentral:misc_RNA from 1 species
CACGUAGGGGGCGAGCGUUGUCCGGAAUUAUUGGGCGUAAAGAGCUCGUAGGCGGUUCGGCAAGUCGGGUGUGAAAACCCAAGGCUCAACCUUGGGACGCCACUCGAUACUGCUGUGACUGGAGUCCGGUAGGGGAGCGUGGAAUUCCUGGUGUAGCGGUGAAAUGCGCAGAUAUCAGGAGGAACACCAGCGGCGAAGGCGGCGCUCUGGGCCGGUACUGACGCUGAGGAGCGGAAGCGUGGGGAGCAAACAGG